rnacentral:rRNA from 1 species
AACGCAGUGACAGGUGCUGCAUGGCUGUCGUCAGCUCGUGUCGUGAAAUGUUGGGUUAAGUCCCGCAACGAGCGCAACCCUUGUCCUUAGUUACCAGCACGUUAUGGUGGGCACUCUAGGGAGACUGCCGGUGACAAACCGGAGGAAGGUGGGGACGACGUCAAGUCAUCAUGGCCCUUACGGCCGGGGCUACACACGUGCUACAAUGGUGCAUACAGACGGUUGCCAAGCCGCGAGGUGGAGCUAAUCUGAGAAAGUGCAUCGUAGUCCGGAUUGGAGUCUGCAACUCGACUCCAUGAAGUCGGAAUGGGGAGUAAUCGUGAAUCAGAAUGUCACGGUGAAUACGUUCCCGGGCCUUGUACACACCGCCCGUCACACCAUGGGAGUGGGUUGCUCCAGAAGUGGCUAGUCUAACUGCUUGCAGAGGACGGUCACCACGGAGUGAUUCAUGACUGGGGUG